GAUGAACGCUGGCGGCGUGCCUAAUACAUGCCAGUCGAGCGAACGGACGAGAAGCUUGCUUCUCUGAUGUUAGCGGCGGACGGGUGAGUAACACGUGGAUAACCUACCUAUAAGACUGGGAUAACUUCGGGAAACCGGAGCUAAUACCGGAUAAUAUUUUGAACCGCAUGGUUCAAAAGUGAAAGACGGUCUUGCUGUCACUUAUAGAUGGAUCCGCGCUGCAUUAGCUAGUUGGUAAGGUAACGGCUUACCAAGGCAACGAUGCAUAGCCGACCUGAGAGGGUGAUCGGCAACACUGGAACUGAGACACGGUCCAGACUCCUACGGGAGGCAGCAGGAGGGAAUCUUCCGCAAUGGGCGAAAGCAUGACGGAGCAACGCCGCGUGAGUGAUGAAGGUCUUCGGAUCGUAAAACUCUGUUAUUAGGGAAGAACAUAUGUGUAAGUAACUGUGCACAUCUUGACGGUACCUAAUCAGAAAGCCACGGCUAACUACGUG
rnacentral:rRNA from 1 species